CAGAGCUUAGUCUAACUGGUAAGGCGUCAACAUUGCCCGUUGAGAAUGCAGGUUCGAAUCCUGUAGCUCUGU
rnacentral:tRNA from 1 species